UUUUAUUAAUAGCCUAUAUAAGGAGGUGGAAAGUACGAACAACAGUUUAAACACCAAAGAAUUUGGCGGUGUCUUACUAAUUAGGGGAACCUGUCCCUUAAAUCGAUAAUCCACGAAAGCCUCACCUAAUUUUGAAACUCAGUUAGUGUACUGCCGUCUUAAGUAUACCUUUAUGAGUGUAUACAAUUAAUUAAUUUUAUAAUAAAACGUCAGGUCAAAGUGCAGCUUAUAAUUAGGAGGAGAUGGGUUACAAUCUAGAUAAAGAACAUGGAUAAAGGUAAUAAGCUAUCUUUUGAAAGUGGACUUAACAGUAAUUAUUAAUACUAUAAUGAAAAUUAUAUGAGACAAGU
rnacentral:rRNA from 1 species